UGGCGGCAAUCACACAUUAAGAGGAAUGUCCAGUAGCAGAGCAUUGUGUCCCUCAAGGAGAGCAGAGAGGGUCAUGUUGGGAGGUAUGAAAUAUGUAGCUGUGGUCAGGACCGGGGCAGUGCAGUAAGCAAGGACCACCACAACGGCAAGCUGCUGCUGGGAGCCCCGACCAGUCCCCUUCUGAGCCCCCCUCCCCUUUUGAUGCCCAAUCCCCCUCUCCUUCCCAGUCCCCUUCUCAGCCCCCCUCCCCUUCUGUUGCCCAAUCCCCUUCUCCUUCCCCGUCCCCUUCUCAGCCCCCCUCCCCUUCUGUUUCCCAAUCCCCUUCUCCUUCCCAGUCCCCUUAUCAGCCCCCCUCCCCUUCUGUUGCCCAAUCCCCUUCUCCUUCCCAGUCCCCUUCUCAGCCCCCCUCCCCUUCUGUUGCCCAAUCCCCUUCUCCUUCCCAGUCCCCUUCUCAGCCCCCCUCCCCUUCUGAUGCCCAAUCCCCUUCUCCUUCCCAGUCCCCUUCUCAGCCCCCCUCCCCUUCUGUUGCCCAAUCCCCUUCUCCUUCCCAGUCCCCUUCUCAGCCCCCCUCCCCCUCUCUUUACCAAUAUCCAUCUCUGUCCCCCUCCCCCUCUGAAGGCGGACAAACAACCACUCCGGCCAUCUCCCCCUCUCUUUCCCAGACCCCCUCUCUGGCCCCCUCCCCCUCUGUUGCCCAAACACCCUCUCCGCCCCCCUCCCCCUCUCAAUCAGACCCACUCUCUGAAAGCAGGUCCCCAAUCCCUCCUCCUUCCCCAAUCCCUCCUUCUUCCCCAAUCCAGCCUCCUUCCCCCAUCCAGCCUCCUUCCCCCAUCCAGCCGCCUUCCCCACCCAGUGAAUGGGCCGAAGAAGCCCCUGCGGAUAUUCCGGGGAGUCCGCAUGUGGCAGAUGCGAAUGCUGCAGUUGGAGAUCCAACCAGUUUGCCUGCACUUUUACAACGCCUAAAAGGCAAUUUAAGGGCAGUAAUUGCUGAUAUGGAGGCAAUUGAGAAAUUUUUUUAAGUUUAUAAUUUUUAU